ensembl:miRNA
GAACUGGGUCAGUGUUACCUCAUGGUAUUUGAAGAUGUGGUUGACCAUGGUGUGUAUGCUUUAUUUGUGACGUAGGACACAUGGUCUACUUCUUCUCAAUAUCACAUCUCGCC